GUACUUUUUCUCCCUUCCUAGAUAAUUCUGUAUGGUGAUUUGCCAAAAAAUAAAGAGAAUGUGGUAUGGAUAUCAAAUCAUCAAAGUGCAGUUGAUUGGAUAAUAGCAGAUAUGUUGGCCAUCAGGCAAAAUGCUCUUGGACAUAUUCGAUAUGUUUUGAAAGAUGGAUUAAAAUGGCUUCCUUUGUACGGGUGGUAUUUUUCUCAGGUAAAUCUUAAUUAUGUUUCUGAAAAGAAAUAGA